rnacentral:rRNA from 1 species
UAGCCGUAAACGAUACUCGCUAGGUGUCGGCCACGGUGCGACCGUUGUCGGUGCCGUAGGGAAGCCGUGAAGCGAGCCACCUGGGAAGUACGGCCGCAAGGCUGAACUUAAGGAUUGGCGGGAGCACCACAACGGGUGGAGCUUGCGGUUUAAUUGGAUUCAACGCCGGAAAUCUUUACCGGGACCGACAGCAACAUGAAGGCCAGGCUGAAGACUUUGCCGGAUUAGCUGAGAGGUGGUGCAUGGCGUAGUCGU